rnacentral:rRNA from 1 species
AUGGGUAGGCUACGGAAAGUCCCUCACCAGGACAUUCCAUUAGUAUCAUCUAUUGAGAGUGCAUAUUCUUUGAAUGUUCCGUUUGUGCUUAAUGACUUCGCGCACGAUGGUUCUAAUGCUAUGUCAUUGGUACUUAGUUGUUUCUUCUUCUUUAGUAUUUAUUUUCUUCUUUCUUCUCUAUUUCAGAUUUUUAAUUUGGGUCUGUUGACUUUUUUCAGGGACUUCUUGGUGAUAAUGGAGGCUUUGACAACGCUCUAUUCAAGUUAUAUAUGA